rnacentral:lncRNA from 1 species
CUUGUUGAGAAAGGUGUGCUCUGGUAUGUUUAAAAUGAGUUCCUUUUCUCCCACCCCUGCUGGAAGCUCCCAGGAAUUUUUCUCAGCUAUUUGCUGUAGGAAUCUGGUCGAGCUCUUAGAGGUCAAUCUCACAAUGUUGUGGGAGCUCUCCCUUGACCAAGUCCUUCUGGAGCUCAACUGUCAGAGUGGUCCACGCUGAGUCUCCAGCAAUCUUCGUCAACUGCUGUUCAGCUUUUCCUACCCCUGCACUGGUUUUCUCAGACGUUUCUGCUCCUAGUCUCUGCUCUGGCUCUCUGGAUCUGGCAUCCUGGAGAUCUGAAUGACUUACCUGCUGAGAAAAGGUCUUCUACCCUGUGAAGGCUCGGGCUGUCUGAAAAGCCCACUGCACAAUUCUGUCGCCUGGAGACUUGUGACAGCACGUUAGUCUGUCUGACUCCUUCGGCAGGAGUUGGCACUUUGUAUUAUCAAGCAUCCCUAUGAAUAGGAGAGGACCAGAGCACUUGGCGUUUGUAGUGGCAAAUCAUGUCUUGGAAAGCUGUCGGGAUUCUCAGCACUAAGAAAAUCCUGGGGAGGGAGACCAGCCAGCCAUCAUUUAUUCAUGCUUCUAAAGGGCUCUGGAAACACAGGUAACAAUGGGCUGGAAGAACAAGCCCUGUCAUGUAUUAAUAAACAGGGAGCCUGAGAACCAGGGGUGGGGGGGGAUGGGUCACCGGGGACUAAUAAGGCUCCCUGGGGCUCCGGGCUGGGGGCCUUCUAAUGACCUAUUAGUGAGGCUGCUGGAGAAAGAGAAGGGCAUUUCCCCCCCUCUUCAACCACUUUUGUUUGAAGAACUUUAAGAUAUUUCAUUAGCAAGUUCUUCAAAAGAAGGCAGAUGCUGCUUUACCGGGGAUGGACCCAGCACAGAUAUACUUGGAAGCUGGAUUUUUAAAAUGAACUGAGUAAAACAUUUAUUGAAAAUCUGCGAAAUGCCAGACACUGUGCCAGGCACUGGGGACACACAGGUUAAGAAAAUGGUCCCUGGCACGUAGUUCACAGCCUACCUGGGUA